CUCCACCAGCUUGUCCUCCACGAUGCUGGCGCCGCGAUCGAAGAAGCCCUCCACCAUCUUGAAGAAGUUGGGGUCGUCCUCGCGGUCGGCCACCGCCUCGCUGUAGUGGCGCCGGGCGGCCAAUGCCAGCCCCGGCUGCGGGGCGGCGGCGGGCUGUCCCCGGGCCCAGCCCAGCAACGCGGCCGAGUCGGCGGACGCCGAGCCCAGGGCAGCGGGCCCGGCCCGGGACAGCAACAGCGCUUCGCCCAGGUAGCGGUACAUGGCCACAAGCGGAGGGGAGUGAAAAAUGUACUCUGACCUGAAUCCUGAAUUUUCCUUGAUGGUCAAAAGAUUAAG
rnacentral:lncRNA from 1 species